GCCCGCUCAGAAACUACAAAGGAAGUUGACGGGGCCCGCACAAGCGGUGGAGUAUGUGGUUUAAUUCGAUGCAACGCGAAGAACCUUACCUGGUCUUGACAUCCCGGAGACCCUUAGGAAACUAGGGGGUGCUUCCAUCUGGAAGAAUCUGGAGACAGGUGCUGCAUGGCUGUCGUCAGCUCGUGUCGUGAGAUGUUGGGUUAAGUCCCGCAACGAGCGCAACCCUUGCCUUUAGUUGCCAGCAGUUCGGCUGGGCACUCUAAAGGGACUGCCGGUGUUAAACCGGAGGAAGGUGGGGAUGACGUCAAGUCCUCAUGGCCUUUAUGACCAGGGCUACACACGUACUACAAUGGCCGAUACAAAGGGCAGCGACACUGCGAGGUGAAGCCAAUCCCGUAAAAUCGGUCUCAGUCCGGAUUGGAGUCUGCAACUCGACUCCAUGAAGUUGGAAUCGCUAGUAAUCGUGGAUCAGCAUGCCACGGUGAAUACGUUCCCGGGCCUC
rnacentral:rRNA from 1 species